ACUGGCCCUAGAGGUGUUGCAGAUAUGGCUACUGUGUCAUAUGUGUAAGUGGCAGAAAGAAGAGAAGCUAUGUUUAUGCUCAGUGUUCUGACUAAUACUGAGGGUUGAUCUUUUGCUUGUAUUGUAAU